AUCGAAAUACACUAUACAGAUACAGUCGGAGCCGGCAACUGUCAAUUAAGGCUUGUUAUCAUAACAAAGCAGUUAAUGGUAGUGAAACAUUUUCUUGGAUUUAUAGCGAAAUGUCUAAUUUUAGAGUUCCUCAUUGUAUUGGAGUGUUUUUGUAAAAAAUAUCAAUACCUUGGCUAAAAGUACUUUGUCGAAAUUUGCGCCGACAAAAUAUUCGAGGUUAAGUAGAGAACAUUUCAUUUUGUGGAACAUCAACAUAUUAAAUAUGUGAAUAAAACAGCAGUUCUUCUGUAUUUUCUUGGAAUAAAAAAAUCCACGAAACAAGCAGGAGAUAGAUCAAUUAGAUUGGUAACUCCAAUGUCCGGAAACAUUUAUUUCAAGACCAGCCAUCAGUUUCCUCUUGGAGCGAAGAAGAUAUUUUACCUAUUAGUGAAAAAAAGACAUUUCUCAUCAGGUCGAAAUGAAUACAUUGCCAACUAAUAAUUCAAAUGCAACUCAAACAUGUUUAAUUUUCUACAGAAUAAUAACAGGUGGAUCACCCACCAAAGUAGUGUACCAUUUCAUCAAAUAGUACAGUAUUUCACAUGGCCCAUGAUAUGAAAUAUUGUUGGGGUAAGGUACUUGGCCUUUCAAUAGAAGACCAAGAAAGCGAAGACUCCAUAUUUAAAAACUCAUAGGUUUCACUAAAACUAAUAAAAUUCUCACCUCAAAGCUAGUCAAUUAUAUUAUGUUUAGAAUCUAAAAUGUUUUUCAUAUAUUUCAUGUUAUGUAAUUUCAGGGAAUGUAUUAUGAAUAAAAGAAAAUAAUAACAAUG